UUUUUUUAAAUUUACGUACCUUGACUAAGAAGCACCCCGGCUAAAUACGUGCCAGCAACCGCGGUAAUACGUAUGGUGCAAGCGUUAUCCGGAUUUACUGGGUGUAAAGGGAGCGUAGACGGAGUGGCAAGUCUGAUGUGAAAGCCCGGGGCUCAACCCCGGGACUGCAUUGGAAACUGUCAAUCUAGAGUACCGGAGAGGUAAGCGGAAUUCCUAGUGUAGCGGUGAAAUGCGUAGAUAUUAGGAGGAACACCAGUGGCGAAGGCGGCUUACUGGACGAUAACUGACGUUGAGGCUCGAAAGCGUGGGGAGCAAACAGGAUUAGAUACCCUGGUAGUCCACGCCGUAAACGAUGACUACUAGGUGUCGGCAAGCAAAGCUGUUUACGCCGCAGCAAACGCAAUAA
rnacentral:rRNA from 1 species